rnacentral:rRNA from 1 species
CCUACGGGAGGCAGCAGUGGGGAAUAUUGCACAAUGGGCGCAAGCCUGAUGCAGCGACGCCGCGUGAGGGAUGACGGCCUUCGGGUUGUAAACCUCUUUCAGUAGGGAAGAAGCGAAAGUGACGGUACCUGCAGAAGAAGCACCGGCUAACUACGUGCCAGCAGCCGCGGUAAU